AAAGUAAUUUUCUUGGACUGAUCCACAGUGGGAAGAUGGAGCAGUUUGGAGGACAUCUGGCAGGCAUACAUCACUGCAUCCUCCUCAAUCCCAGAGUGCACCAGGGAACUCCUUCUACCUGUAUUUAGUCCUUCUCAGUGUUGAAAUCCUAACCUGGGCAUCAAAAGUGCGUCCUGAGUGGCAGAGGUUCUCAGCAUUGCAUAGGAUAAAGCCUGGGAGAAUCUCUUCCUCCUCAAUGCCUUUGAGGCGGAGCUUCAGGUUUUCACCAGGUCCAGCGUAUUCAGUCUCCACAUCAUCAGAGAGAAGGCUCAACACUUCCACCGUGUGCUGGAAAACCAGAACAAACCAUGUUCUAGACAUUUUUAGAUAAUGGCUAAGAUUCAUAAUGGUUGCGAUAACAACAAAUUGUACUGUUUUGUCCAGUCUUACCCUAUUUGGCAUCAUAAUAAGUUGUUGUGCUUUCGCGAUACUUCCAGACUCCAGUUUUCCGAGCACCACGGUGCCCAUGUCCUACACAAAAGAUUAUGAAGGAGCAUUAUGGACUCUAUUUGCUGAUAUUAGAGUUGUUGUUUUUUUAUCAUUUGAUACAUUUUGGACAAUAUUAAAUAUUUAAUUUUGCCACCUUUGCCAUCAUUUAACGCUCACUUAAAGUUAAUCAUAAAAAACACUGAUAAUCUUUAGCAUAUGUCGUGUGAAUAUACAUUUUUUACUAUAAAUGCAUUCACUUUUAGGACUUUUUUUCCAUUUAGAAAACUGGUAUACAGUUUUAAUAACAUGAAGUUGUAUGAUUUAAAAGAAAAUUAAUAUUUUUAGGAACAAGUAGGCAUGAAGGUU